ACCUUAGUCCUCUAUCUCCCUAUCUCAUCGGCCCUCUGCUACAGUUCAACCUUUUGCUACUCGUAAAUCUCAGAUUCUCAUGUUUGAGGUAAGGUUUUCCCCUUCUCACUGUUGCUUUCUACAAUUUAGAAUAUCUGAUUAGGGAUACGCAUUGUCGAAUCCGUAAUUUGAGAUUUGUAUAACAAAUCCCUAAUUAGGGAUGUGUAUUGUCAAAUCCCUAGUUGGUGAUUUGCAUUGUCUGAGUUUAGCUCUGCUUGUAAGUGGUGUAUUUUGGGUUUUGUGCCAAUUUCUUGAAAUCUAUCAAUGUUGUUCGUCCUCUUUGUGUUUUAGGCCUGUCUGAUGUAGUAUUUCAAAUCUCUUUUGUAGUAUAUAAGAAGGAUUUCAUGUAUAUGAUUAUGAAAGGAUAGUAGCACCAUAGUAAUUGUAAUGCAUAUUCAUUUUAAAUGUGAGGAAUAGACUAUCUAUUUCAAUAUGAAAAAUGAUAUCAGCGGAUACAUACAAGCAUUUGUUUGGGUAAAAGGGAUCUUGAAAAAUUGGGAUUUUGGUAGGUCUGAGUGCCAGCUAUGCCCAAUGUGCUUUCUUAUGCUCAAUCACAGUACUGGAAAUUUUAAUCCAAAGGCAGUUUAGUCAAUCCUGUCCUUUCUUUCUAUCAGUCAACUACUAGUUUGAGUUUUGAUGUAUUGGUGUGCACAAAAGGACUGAGCAGAAGUGCUUAAGCUUGAUAAAAUCUGGCUUUUUGGGCCAGCUCUAAUCUUACUGGUUUUUUAUUCAGCUCUCUUUACCACAGAGACAUUUCUCAUCUCAUAAUUUCAUAUUUGUUUUAGGUUGUUUUUUGUUGCAACAAAUAGCAUGAAAUUUUGGUGCGACCAAUCAAAAUGGCACAUAUCAAAGAGUUGUUCGGGGGAAGAAAUAGGAAGGGGACAGGUAGCGAAACAGCCCCUGUUUGGAUGGCAUACAAACAUCAUGAGUAUGAGCUGGAUGGCAAAAGUGAUGGGAGAGGUAGAUUCCUUACGGACAUCUUGGUGGGCCCCUCGUAGCUUCUGCUUCUACAUAAGUGAUGGAUGGCCAUUUGUCACAUGUCCGGAAAGCUCAAAAUAUGCCAAGUCUUUUUUUUUUUUUUAAACAAAUAAGUGGCAUGUAUUUACAUGGAUUCUUUUCUAAUUAUUAUACCAUGCACAAAAAAAAAAUUGAAGUUAAAAUCACAAAAUUGUUGGAAUAUGUAUAUCCAGACCAUUCAAAAUCAGGCCGACUCUAGAUGGGUGCAUGUUCUAGAAAUCACACAAAUUGGAUGAAUCUAACUUAAUCAUUCUUUUUUAUGCUAACCUCACCUGGUGGGACCCAUGAUUUAGACUGUCUAGAUUGACAAGCAUGCAUGCAUGAUCCAUGUUGGAUUUUGCAUGAGUAUGAUCCACUACACUAUGACCAAAAUAUAAAAACACAAAAUAGAAAACACAGUGCCUGUUUGGAUGCCGCUUAAAAAUGAGCCAAUCUCAUUGGAGUUAAUCUUAUAUGUACAGAUUAAAAGUAAUUUUAAUAACAAACAAUCAUGAUUUCUAAUGCAUAAUUAUGAUUGAGAGUGUGUUUGGUUGCACCAAAUAUCAGGAAUUUUCAAAUGCACACUCAAAUGAGUACUCAUUUUUAAGUGGGCACCCAAACAGGAUCUUCUCAUUUGGAGAGUAGAAAUGGUACCUUUGGACUCAAUUGCUACCAUUAUAUUUGUCAUCUCCCUAUCUACCUUACUUGGUUGCAACUACAAACUGGGUACUUGGAGAGCUUGCAUCUUAUCUCCCUCAAGUGAGUCUCUCUAACAUAAUUUCUAUUUAUAUUCAUUUGUUCCACAGUCAGUCUUCUAGGUGAUAUUCACUGGCAUGCUUAUGCAUAGUCAAACAAUCACUUGGCCCUAGAAAGCUUUCAAAACUUUUUCAACAGUCCCUAUCACACAUCCCUUUUUAUCCACGUCAAAUAUCCUCAAAUAAAGCCCAAGUGCAUUGGAUUUUCUUGAGACUUAUCUCUCUGAUUGCCUCUAAUCUAUUUUUAUGGUAACAGAUUAGCUUUCUUUCUCAUCUUUCCUUUAGAUCGUUCUACAUUUCUGCUCUGUUUCACUAGUUUUUUUUUUUUUACUUGAUUUGAUGCUUGGAUGUGAUUUUAGCUGGUUUAUUCACUGUCUUGCUAUUUUUUUUCUUGAUUUAAUUUUCAGUGUUAAAAAAUGAUGCGAAUUAGUUGCUAUCUUUGCUUAUUUCGGAUUAGAAAAUUAUGGUAGCAAUUUGUCGUUUCAUUUCCCUUAUUAUUAUUAUUAUUAUUAUUAUUAUUAUUAUUAUUAUUAUUUGUUGAAAUAUUGUGUGAUGAAAUCUGUUAUAGAUAUAUGAUCUUUUGCUAAUUUUGAAAUAAAGAUAAAUUAGUAGAUCAGUUCCACUUUUAUGCAAAUGAGCUUAAUUAUGAUGUAUUUAUGGCUUUCAAAUCAAAACAUGAGCUCACUCUACAUGUCAUUAGAUAAAGGAUCAUAUAACUCCUCUUGAUUUGUUUUCAAUCUCAUAAAAGAUUACUGAUUUUUCAAGCUUCUUCCGGCUUACAGAGUUGUUAAGUGCCUUCUAAUUGGUAACAGAUUUUGCAAUUUCUCAUCUGGUAGCACUAAUUGUUUAAAUAUUUUGCUUCCAUAUCAAGAUUUCUCUUUUUUCUGUUCCCUCUUUUUCUUUUUUUUUUUGUGGUUUGAAUGACUUUGAAACUGCAGGAUUUUUAUGAGGAUCUAUUUGAGGAGCUGAGCAAGUAUGGAGAGAUUGAGAGCCUUAAUGUUUCUGUUUGUUAACCUUUUGCAACAAAAACUACCUCACCUUAUACCAGAGGUUUAUUUUUGGAGAUUUCUCCUUAUCUUUCCACUUCAUUUUUGCUCCAUGUAAUUACCACGCUCAUCUCAUUAUCUUCAAAAAUUGGAAGAAAUAGUGGAUUGUGAAUUGAAAAAGCCUCAGUUUUACAGUUAUUGCUGGUCCCAAGAAUCAAUAAAAGAACUUCCAAAUGAUAGUGUAGAAGAAAAUUUACCUUGCCAUAGUAUCUAGAAUUGUAUUAAUUAGCAAAUCCCACAGAUUGUAUAUAGAAGAAAAUUUACCUUACCAUAGGAUCAUUGCCUGGAUUGGCACCAUUGCAUAUCAGUCAUGUCCCAGGACUUUCUCCAGCUGGAAAACCCUUUUUCUAAAA